UCGACGUAUUUGAGAUGCGGAAGCACAUUUAAUAACGAGAAAAUAUUUUAGAUUCGUAUUUUUCAUUUGCGUAACGAAAGAAUUGCAUUGCAUGCUCAUUGUAAAACUUCGAUCUGAAAAUCUGAACUAAAUUGAUAUAUAAACCAUAGGCGUACACCGGUAUGAACACAGUGCAUUUAUGCGCCAUUAUAUUAAACAUAUGGGAAGAGUAAACAUGCCACGCACUAAAAAUUCACAACAGUUAGAUUUUCAAAGAGGUCGUUUUGUUGGACAAUCUGAGGUGAUUGAAUAAGAAUUGGAAGAUACAGAAAUUCUAGAAGUCACCAAAGCAGCCGGGUGUCUAAGGAAAAUCGUAAUGGCCAGCCUUGUCACACUGUGGGUCACGCUGAAUUUCCCCGAGAACUACAUUAAGGGUACACAUGUCUGCGGAAUGCUCAACCACUUGCACGUUAAUAUUUCAGAAGCAUGCUGUUCCGUUGAUCGGAUCAACUCGAACCCUCGUCGUCGUAACCGCCGGAGUGCCACGAAAUAUAU